GGGGGUAUACCUCAAAUGGCAGAGUGCACGUUUAGCAUGCUUGAGGUCCUGGGUUCAAACCCCAGUACCUCCU
rnacentral:tRNA from 1 species